rnacentral:rRNA from 1 species
UACGAAGGGGGCUAGCGUUGCUCGGAAUCACUGGGCGUAAAGCGCGUGUAGGCGGCCCACUAAGUCUGAUGUGAAAGCCCGGGGCUCACCCCCGGAAGUGCAUUGGAAACUGGUGGACUCGAGUCCCGGAGAGGAGAGUGGAAUUCCUGGUGUAGCGGUGAAAUGCGUAGAUAUCAGGAGGAACACCGGUGGCGAAGGCGGGUCUCUGGGCCGAUACUGACGCUGAGGAGCGAAAGCGUGGGGAGCGAACAGG